GGAACAUCUGACUGAACUUGAGAGUGUGCUGUUCGCCGGCGAGUUGGAGGGAGCCGGAGACGAAGACGAUCAUGCCGCCGGCGGGGCCGGAGAGCUGGCAGUCGAUGGUGGAGAUCUGGUGGGCGCACUGCUGGAAGGGGAGGCCAGUGAGCUUGGCGACGAUGGCUUGGGCGCCCUGGGUCUUGGCGCCCUCGAAGGAGAGCAUCGACGAGUCCUGGUAGAGGUUGCCGAGCGCCGGCCGGUUGUUGUCAAAGGUCUGGUAGUAGUGGUUCACGAAGGCCUGAGCCACCGAGUCGGGAUCCGCCGCCAUCUCCGCCGCCGCUC
rnacentral:misc_RNA from 1 species